GGUCUGUCAUUUUAUAUAAACUAUAUUGGCUAGCCUUCCGUGAUGAUGGUAAAUAUAGUGCAGCUGACUUUGCAAAAGCAACUAGUGAGAAAGUAUCGAGUGUCCUUUCUCUACAAGAAAAUUCUUGGAAUCCUUUUGAGAAAGAGCAGGCGUUUAAACGCAGAACAUGCUUUGUCAUUAGGUUAUUUCAGGGUGCUAUGAGAGGUUUAGCCUACAUGCAUAAUCAUGAAAUAUUACAGCAGAGUCUUGGACCGGCUUCUGUUAUACUAAAGUAUAUUGUUUGACAAUUUUCAUUUGAAGGAUGGGUUUAUCCGCCCUUAAAAGAGAUUUAACCAACCUUUCAUUGAAUGAUGGCAGUCCAAUAGUAGGAAAGAGAUGCUGCUUAUCUGAUUCCAAAGCUUCGAGAUCUAGCCUUUUCUGUUGACAUCGGCUUUUCAUCUUUGGAAGAAUGUCCUAGCACAUUCUCAGAGGGUCUUUGGAGAAGGGCAUAUUCUGCUGGUGCAUUUACGCCUAUGGAGAAAAGUGCCUUUGGAAUUGCAGAUGACAUGUAAUGUUUCGAUUUUCGGUGAAACUUCCCUAGCCGUUUUUAUACCAAAAAUCAAUUUCUUCUCUAGAAAGAAGAAAGAAGAAGAAGAAUGAGGAAGAAUAACCAAGGAAGAAGAAGAAGAAGACCGGGGUGUUUAACGGAGUUAACGGGUCACGUCAGCUAAAACUAACGGAGGGUAACGGCAGGGACCUUACAGAAAAUGAACUAUAAGUUUAAUGGUUGUAUUGUA